rnacentral:rRNA from 1 species
CCUACGGGAGGCAGCAGUGAGGAAUAUUGGUCAAUGGCCGAGAGGCUGAACCAGCCAAGUCGCGUGAGGGAAGACGGCCCUACGGGUUGUAAACCUCUUUUGUCGGGGAGCAAAGCGAGUCACGUGUGACUCAUUGAGAGUACCCGAAGAAAAAGCAUCGGCUAACUCCGUGCCAGCAGCCGCGGUAAUACGGAGGAUGCGAGCGUUAUCCGGAUUUAUUGGGUUUAAAGGGUGCGUAGGCGGGCAUUUAAGCCGGCGGUCAAAUGUCGGGGCUCAACCCCGGCCUGCCGUCGGAACUGGGUGCCUUGAGUGGGCGAGAAGUAUGCGGAAUGCGUGGUGUAGCGGUGAAAUGCAUAGAUAUCACGCAGAACCCCGAUUGCGAAGGCAGCAUACCGGCGCCCUACUGACGCUGAGGCACGAAAGUGCGGGUAUCGAACAGGAUUAGAUACCCCAGUAGUC